GUUACACAGAUCAAUCAUAGUAUGCCGAGCACGGGACUUGCAUUUACAACACUUGGAUAGGAACUAGUGUUCUACAUUGACGAUAUAUGACGACAACGCACUAACAAUCAUUCAUGAACUAUUCCAAUGUUAGAUGUAUUGACUAUUGACUGUAGCAGUUACACAGAUCAAUCAUAGUAUGCCGAGCACGGGACUUGCAUUUACAACACUUGGAUAGCAACUAGUGUUCUACAUUGACGAUAUAUGACGACAACGCACUAACAAUCAUUCAUGAACUAUUCCAAUGUUAGAUGUAUUGACUAUUGACUGUAGCAGUUACACAGAUCAAUCAUAGUAUGCCGAGCACGGGACUUGCAUUUACAACACUUGGAUAGCAACUAGUGUUCUACAUUGACGAUAUAUGACGACAACGCACUAACAAUCAUUCAUGAACUAUUCCAAUGUUAGAUGUAUUGACUAUUGACUGUAGCAGUUACACAGAUCAAUCAUAGUAUGCCGAGCACGGGACUUGCAUUUACAACACUUGGGAAGCAACUAGUGUUCUACAUUGACGAUAUAUGACGACAACGCACUAACAAUCAUUCAUGAACUAUUCCAAUGUUAGAUGUAUUGACUAUUGACUGUAAGUUCAGGGGACUAUUAUGAAUUACAUUUUACAAUUGUAAAUGAAUGUUCAAAUGACACCAUUUUCAUGUAGCAGUUACACAGAUCAAUCAUAGUAUGCCGAGCACGGGACUUGCAUUUACAACACUUGGAUAGCAACUAGUGUUCUACAUUGACGAUAUAUGACGACAACGCACUAACAAUCAUUCAUGAACUAUUCCAAUGUUAGAUGUAUUGACUAUUGACUGUAGCAGUUACACAGAUCAAUCAUAGUAUGCCGAGCACGGGACUUGCAUUUACAACACUUGGAUAGCAACUAGUGUUCUACAUUGACGAUAUAUGACGACAACGCACUAACAAUCAUUCAUGAACUAUUCCAAUGUUAGAUGUAUUGACUAUUGACUGUAGCAGUUACACAGAUCAAUCAUAGUAUGCCGAGCACGGGACUUGCAUUUACAACACUUGGGAAGCAACUAGUGUUCUACAUUGACGAUAUAUGACGACAACGCACUAACAAUCAUUCAUGAACUAUUCCAAUGUUAGAUGUAUUGACUAUUGACUGUAGCAGUUACACAGAUCAAUCAUAGUAUGCCGAGCACGGGACUUGCAUUUACAACACUUGGAUAGCAACUAGUGUUCUACAUUGACGAUAUAUGACGACAACGCACUAACAAUCAUUCAUGAACUAUUCCAAUGUUAGAUGUAUUGACUAUUGACUGUAGCAGUUACACAGAUCAAUCAUAGUAUGCCGAGCACGGGACUUGCAUUUACAACACUUGGAUAGCAACUAGUGUUCUACAUUGACGAUAUAUGACGACAACGCACUAACAAUCAUUCAUGAACUAUUCCAAUGUUAGAUGUAUUGACUAUUGACUGUAGCAGUUACACAGAUCAAUCAUAGUAUGCCGAGCACGGGACUUGCAUUUACAACACUUGGA